CUUAAUUGCUAUAUUACUGAGGCAAGUUCUGGUUGAAAUGUAUUUUAGCUAGCAUCCCAUGGCAACAGCAGGUUAUAAAGCUAAUAAGAAAAUUCUCACUCCGAUAGCGUCAUGAAUAUACGGACAAAGAACAACUAUCACCUGGACGUACAUUGCGAUGUAUCGAAUCGAAGUUUCCCAUCUACGGUUCAAAUCUUUUGCAGAUACAUUUGCAAUGUAUUUGAGCAGAAUUUUCUAUCCCAGACACAUUAUAUAAAGUCUUCAUUAAAACGCCUUCUUCCAGGAAAAAUAUAACUGAACACAAUAUGAAAUAGCUUUAAGUGUGAGCUACAACACAAGCAGUACGUCCACUGGACUGAAGUCUACCUCCCGCAAUGGUUCAAAAUACUGCAACAUCGAUUUCUAUUCAUAUUUCAAUGCGUCUGCCGAAAACUAACAAACACAAAGAAAUGAAAAUUAGUUAAGUAAACGAA